GGGUGAGUAACACGUGGGUAACCUACCCAUCAGAGGGGGAUAACACUUGGAAACAGGUGCUAAUACCGCAUAACAGUUUAUGCCGCAUGGCAUAAGAGUGAAAGGCGCUUUCGGGUGUCGCUGAUGGAUGGACCCGCGGUGCAUUAGCUAGUUGGUGAGGUAACGGCUCACCAAGGCCACGAUGCAUAGCCGACCUGAGAGGGUGAUCGGCCACACUGGGACUGAGACACGGCCCAGACUCCUACGGGAGGCAGCAGUAGGGAAUCUUCGGCAAUGGACGAAAGUCUGACCGAGCAACGCCGCGUGAGUGAAGAAGGUUUUCGGAUCGUAAAACUCUGUUGUUAGAGAAGAACAAGGACGUUAGUAACUGAACGUCCCCUGACGGUAUCUAACCAGAAAGCCACGGCUAACUACGUGCCAGCAGCCGCGG
rnacentral:rRNA from 1 species